GACGAACGCUGGCGGCGCGCCUAAUGCAUGCAAGUCGAGCGACGCAUGCUCGGUGGGUAACCACUGGGUAUGACGGAGCGGCGAACGGGUGAGUAACACGUGAGUAACCUGCCCCGAAGAUCGGGAUAGCCCGGGAAACCCGGAUUAAUACCGAAUACCCUCUCUGGAUCGCAUGGUCCGGUGAGGAAAUGCCUUUGUGCUUCGGGAUGGACUCGCGGCCUAUCAGCUAGUUGGUGAGGUAACGGCUCACCAAGGCAACGACGGGUAGCUGGUCUGAGAGGACGAUCAGCCACACUGGGACUGAGACACGGCCCAGACUCCUACGGGAGGCAGCAGCAGGGAAUCUUGCACAAUGGGCGCAAGCCUGAUGCAGCGACGCCGCGUGCGGGAUGAAGGCCUUCGGGUUGUAAACCGCUUUCAGGAGGGACGAAAAUGACGGUACCUCCAGAAGAAGCCCCGGCCAACUACGUG
rnacentral:rRNA from 1 species